ensembl:lncRNA
GCGGCUCAAUCGCCACCGCAAACAACGCUACGCAGAAUGUCUCUGGACCGCCGAUGCCCAAUGUGUCCUACGUGCGGCAGAUGGAUCUGACGCCCUCGGCGUUUUCCAGGAGUUUUCCCGGCCGGCGAGGGACGGUGGGAGGACGGUGACGUCAGCGCGCGCCCUCGAGCGGACGGGGACGAGGUCCGAAAGGCAGCGAGGGGCCAGGCCGAUGGAGCCAUCAAUGUCGUCCCCGUCCUCGACGGGUCCCACGAGCUCUGCAGCAAAUUUACAGAGAAAACCGCGCUGUUGCAUCAUCGCACGGAGCUGGAGUUAAGAGACACAGGAUUGGAUUUAUGUAUCACACUGCUUGAGGUUGUAGUCUUUGAAUAUUUGUCAAUAAAACCCUCGCAGAUGAAGAGGCAGCACGCUUGUGUAGCAGUCAAGUGCUUCUCCAGGGGUUUUCUUCUCCCUAAAUCUGAAGAUUAAAAACAU